GGGCCCGCACAAGCGGCGGAGCAUGCGGAUUAAUUCGAUGCAACGCGAAGAACCUUACCAAGGCUUGACAUGAACCGGUAACGCCUGGAGACAGGUGCCCCGCUUGCGGUCGGUUUACAGGUGGUGCAUGGUUGUCGUCAGCUCGUGUCGUGAGAUGUUGGGUUAAGUCCCGCAACGAGCGCAACCCUCGUUCUAUGUUGCCAGCACGUGAUGGUGGGGACUCAUAGGAGACUGCCGGGGUCAACUCGGAGGAAGGUGGGGACGACGUCAAAUCAUCAUGCCCCUUAUGUCUUGGGCUUCACGCAUGCUACAAUGGCCGGUACAAAGGGUUGCGAUACUGUGAGGUGGAGCUAAUCCCAAAAAGCCGGUCUCAGUUCGGAUUGGGGUCUGCAACUCGACCCCAUGAAGUCGGAGUCGCUA
rnacentral:rRNA from 1 species